AACGAACGCUGGCGGCGCGCCUAAUACAUGCAAGUCGAGCGAGAAGACGUAGCAAUACGUUUGUAAAGCGGCGAACGGGUGAGGAAUACAUGGGUAACCUACCCUCGAGUGGGGAAUAACUAGCCGAAAGGUUAGCUAAUACCGCGUACGCUCCUUGGACUUCGGUUCAGGGAGGAAAGCGAUACCGUGGGUAUCGCGCUCUUGGAUGGGCUCAUGUCCUAUCAGCUUGUUGGUGAGGUAACGGCUCACCAAGGCUUCGACGGGUAGCUGGUCUGAGAGGACGAUCAGCCACACUGGCACUGCGACACGGGCCAGACUCCUACGGGAGGCAGCAGUAAGGAUAUUGCGCAAUGGGCGAAAGCCUGACGCAGCGACGCCGCGUGGGGGAUGAA
rnacentral:rRNA from 1 species